GCUGGGCGUGGUGGUGCACACUUGUAGUUCCAGCUGCUUGGAAGGCUGAGGCGGGUGGAUCUCUUGAGACCAGGAGGUCGAGGCUGCAGUGAGCAGUGAUCAUGCCACUGCACUUCAGCCUGAGCAACAGAGGGAGACCUUGUCUCUA
ensembl:misc_RNA Metazoa_SRP Metazoan signal recognition particle RNA